CAGUAGCCGCGGGAAUACGUAGGGUGCAAGCGUUAAUCGGAAUUACUGGGCGUAAAGCGUGCGCAGGCGGUUUGUUAAGACAGAUGUGAAAUCCCCGGGCUCAACCUGGGAACUGCAUUUGUGACUGGCAGGCUAGAGUCUGGCAGAGGGGGGUGGAAUUCCGCGUGUAGCAGUGAAAUGCGUAGAUAUGCGGAGGAACACCGAUGGCGAAGGCAGCCCCCUGGGCCAACACUGACGCUCAUGCACGAAAGCGUGGGGAGCAAACAGGAUUAGAUACCCCAGUAGUCCCUGUCUCUUAUAC
rnacentral:rRNA from 1 species